rnacentral:rRNA from 1 species
UUGCAGAAUUCAGUGAAUCAUCGAAUCUUUGAACGCAUCUUGCGCUCCUUGGUAUUCUGAGGAGCAUGCCUGUUUGAGUGUCAUU